rnacentral:rRNA from 1 species
CACGUAGUUAGCCGUGGCUUUCUGAUUAGGUACCGUCAAGACGUGCACAGUUACUUACACAUUUGUUCUUCCCUAAUAACAGAGUUUUACGAUCCGAAGACCUUCAUCACUCACGCGGCGUUGCUCCGUCAGGAAACUUUCGCCCAUUGCGGAAGAUUCCCUACUGCUGCCUCCCGUAGGAGUCUGGACCGUGUCUCAGUUCCAGUGUGGCCGAUCACCCUCUCAGGUCGGCUACGUAUCGUUGCCUUGGUAAGCCGUUACCUUACCGAACUAGCUAAUACGGCGCGGGUCCAUCUAUAAGUGAUAGCAAAACCAUCUUUCACUUUAGAACCAUGCGGUUCUAAAUGUUUAUCCGGCUAUUUACGGCCCCCGGGUUUCCCGGAGUUUACUUCCGAGUUCUUAUAGGUUAGGUUACCCA